rnacentral:lncRNA from 1 species
UUUUGCAAAACACUCCCUAAAAUGCGGAGAGCCCCCGUAGCCAGACCCUAACCCUCCGACCCUAUCUACUCGGCCUCUCUCCCUCCUUACUCCUUACUACCACCGUCGUCGCCGCUGCUGCCGGCAUAUCCUCUCCUCCGCACGCCACCUACGUGCCUCUCCCCACCUUGCCCUCUCCUCCCCGCCGCCUCCAUUCCAGAAUGAGCAGACCUCCUCCGUGUGAUGACUCCACGAGGGACCGGGGGAAAUCGAGGAGGAGGAGACAUCCAUGGAUACCAUGUGCGGAGGACUUAAGGAGGGUUCGUACUCCCGAAGAUCUCCACGCACUAUCCGGAUCUGGGCACCCAACGAACAAGUCAAUCCUCGACAACCGUCGAUCCGACUGGAUCGAUUGCCCAAUGGUGGCGACCGAGAAAAGGUAUGACCAACAGCUCCCUUUACUCUUCUCCUUUCUUUGUUAUUACCAUUAUUAUUUCUACCUCUUCCGUUGGAUCCAUCCACUUAUGUGUGAGCUUGCUCUCCCAGGUCUGAGCCAUGAGCUCCUUGUUCGAGUAUACAUAGCAAGGGGACCUUGGGAGCUGUAGAUCUGUGACUGUAAUGGAUUAGGAGUUUGACUGGGCUACCUGCUCCCCAUCAAUUUAAUGCCUAUGUGAGCUCUCUGUUACUUAGCUUAAUGAUGUCCAUCUCUAGAAAAUUCAGAAACAAAAACUGAAACAGAAGAAUCACAUCUUUAUCACGGGACGCAGAAAACGGCUUCGAGUCCUCUUUCGCCUGGCCAAAAGGCAAAAGCGCUCCUCCAUCCGAGCAUAUUUCGUGUGGCAGUGUGGCUCCGUCCGCUCUCGUGUUGGAGCCACAACCAGAACCGUAUCAAAAGCUUUUAGGCGUUGUUUAGUUUUGCGAAAUUUUUUGAAUUUGGCUAUUGUAACAUUUUUAUUUGUAUUUGAUAAUUAUUGUCC